GUGGGGAAUCUUGCACAAUGGGCGAAAGCCUGAUGCAGCGACGCCGCGUGCGGGAUGAAGGCCUUCGGGUUGUAAACCGCUUUCAGCAGGGACGAGGCCGCAAGGUGACGGUACCUGCAGAAGAAGCCCCGGCUAACUACGUGCCAGCAGCCGCGGUAAUACGUAGGGGGCAAGCGUUAUCCGGAUUCAUUGGGCGUAAAGAGCUCGUAGGCGGCCCGUUAGGUCAGGAGUCAAAUUCGGGGGCUCAACCCCCGCGCGCUCCUGAUACCGGCGGGCUUGAGUUUGGUAGGGGAAGGUGGAAUUCCCAGUGUAGCGGUGGAAUGCGCAGAUAUUGGGAAGAACACCGGUGGCGAAGGCGGCCUUCUGGGCCAUAACUGACGCUGAGGAGCGAAAGCUAGGGGAGCGAACAGGAUUAGAUACCCCAGUAGUCC
rnacentral:rRNA from 1 species